rnacentral:sRNA from 1 species
CUGACCUUUCUGAGCAAUCAGUGUCUUCUUACAACAAUAAUACUACAGCAUUACUAACUACUUUUCAGCGCGUAUGGGCCUCAAAUCUGACCCUAUCGGAAACUCAAAAUGGAGAUGUAUCUGAAGAAACAAUGGGAAGUAGAAAGGUUAAAAAAUCAAAACAAAAGCCCAUGAAUGUGGGCUUAUCAGAAACUCAAAAUGGAGACGUGUCUCAAGAGGCAGUGGAAAAUGUAAAAGUUAAAAAGUCUCCCCAGAAAUCCAGUGUAUUAACCAAUGGAGAAGCAGCAAUGCAGUCUUCCAAUUCAGAAUCAAAAAAGAAAAAGAAGAAAAAGAGAAAAAUGGUGAAUGAUGCUGAGCCUGAUACGAAAAAAGCAAAAACUGAAAACAAAGGGAAAUCUGAAGAAGAAAGUGCCGAGACUCCUAAAGAAACAGAAAAUAAUGUGGAUAAGCCAGAUAAUGAUGAAGAUGAGAGUGAGGUGCCCAAUCUGCCCCUGGGACUGACAGGAGCUUUUGAGGAUACUUCGUUUGCUUCUCUAUGUAAUCUUGUCAAUGAAAACACUCUGAAGGCAAUAAAAGAAAUGGGUUUUACAAACAUGACUGAAAUUCAGCAUAAAAGUAUCAGACCACUUCUGGAAGGCAGGGAUCUUCUAGCAGCUGCAAAAACAGGCAGUGGUAAAACCCUGGCUUUUCUCAUCCCUGCAGUUGAACUCAUUGUUAAGUUAAGGUUCAUGCCCAGGAAUGGAACAGGAGUCCUUAUUCUCUCACCUACUAGAGAACUAGCCAUGCAAACUUUUGGUGUUCUUAAGGAGCUGAUGACUCACCACGUGCAUACCUAUGGCUUGAUAAUGGGUGGCAGUAACAGAUCUGCUGAAGCACAGAAACUUGCUAAUGGGAUCAACAUCAUUGUGGCCACACCAGGCCGUCUGCUGGACCAUAUGCAGAAUACCCCAGGAUUUAUGUAUAAAAACCUGCAGUGUCUGGUUAUUGAUGAAGCUGAUCGUAUCUUGGAUGUGGGGUUUGAAGAGGAAUUAAAGCAAAUUAUUAAACUUUUGCCAACACGUAGACAGACUAUGCUCUUUUCUGCCAC